UGUGUACUCCCUCCGUCCAACAAAAGAUGUCUUAAAUUUGUCAAAAUUUGAAUGCAUCUAAAUAUGACUUAGUGUAUAGAUGCAUUCAAAUUUAGUCAAAGUUGAGACAUUCUUUGUUGGACGGAGGGAGCAUAUA
rfam:Brachypodium distachyon strain Bd21 chromosome 1, whole genome shotgun sequence.